GACGAACGCUGGCGGCGUGCCUAAUACAUGCAAGUUGAGCGCUGAAGGUUGUACUUGUUCCCACUUGAUGAGCAGCGAACGGGUUAGUUACGCGUGGGGAAUCUGCCUUUGAGCGGGGGACAACAUUUGGAAACGAAUGCUAAUUCCGCCUUAAAACUUUUAACCCAAGUUUUAAGUUUGAAAGAUUCAAUUGCAUCACUCAAAGAUUAUCCCGCGUUGUAUUAGCUAGUUGGUGAGGUAAAGGCUCACCAAGGCGAUGAUACAUAGCCGACCUGAGAGGGUGAUCGGCCACAUUGGGACUGAGACACGGCCCAAACUCCUACGGGAGGCAGCAGUAGGGAAUCUUCGGCAAUGGACGAAAGUCUGACCGAGCAACGCCGCGUGAGUGAAGAAGGUUUUCGGAUCGUAAAACUCUGUUGGUAGAGAAGAACGUUGGUGAGAGUGGAAAGCUCAUCAAGUGACGGUAACUACCCAGAAAGGGACGGCUAACUACGUG
rnacentral:rRNA from 1 species